GUAUUCUGAAUAUUCUUGGAUGUAUAAAAGAAAAAUGACAUGUUGGUUUAAUUUUGCAGCUUCCAAUCAUAUUUGGAUUAUUUUUCCUUCACUUGGAAGAAAAUUACACAUGGAAUAUCAGAGUAACUGAUCUGGACAAAUAAAUUUGGUCCCCACAGAAUAUGGUCCUCAACUAAGGUUCCAUGUGAUUGGUUUUUAACGGUUGGACGAAUCAAAUUUGCUUCAAUUGUGGGAGUCUACCUCAAUCCAAACAAUGUUUGUCCUUCACUUCAGUUUGGACCACCAUUACCAGCUCUGAAACUUUGCAGAAGGAGCCAGAUUCUACAGUGAUAAUCACUGUCUUCCAAAGGCUUUGAUAAUUGAACCACCCAAAAAAAGUAUGUAUAUUUUUUCUGAAAUGGUUUGGGCACUUGGGUUGUUUUCAUUAAAGAGAAUCCCUCAUAAGCUGCUUGCCAAUUUCUUAAGGUAACUUUUUCAUGUACUAGGUUUAGGUUUAAGUUUCAUAAUGCAAGUGAAAGUUUAGAAUGGCUUAACAAAACCUGAAGGCAGAGGCAGAUUAUUCCCUCAAUGUAUAGCUAUUUGAAAUAUUUAAUUUCAGAUGCCCUUCUUGGUUAUAUUUUGAGCACCAACCUUCAAUCCUUUUAGGUAAUGGAAGGUCCCACCAGGUUGAUGUUGGAAAGACGGAGGCUCUAAAAGAAGAAGAUUCCCAACAGAUGCUGAUUGAAAGCUAUAAUGAUGGAAUUCUAACACAUUGUUUUAUAUGGUUUUGGCCUGGUGUCAACCAAUUUGUGUUGAGAGGAAAAAAAAGGCUAGAUAGAUGUUUGGAAUGCAUUUGAAUGCCAUGCCUUUUUUUUUAGCAGAA
rnacentral:lncRNA from 1 species